rnacentral:rRNA from 1 species
CGGAUUGGAGUCUGCAACCCGACUCCAUGAAGCUGGAUUCGCUAGUAAUCGCGCAUCAGCCACGGCGCGGUGAAUACGUUCCCGGGCCUUGUACACACCGCCCGUCAAGCCAUGGAAGUCGGGAAUGCCCGAAGUCAGUGACCCAACCUAUUGGAGGGAGCUGCCGAAGGCAGGUCUGAUAACUGGGGUGAAGUCGUAACAAGGUAGC